GAGACGUUAGUAAAUCGAUUACGUGGCCUUGUCAAGACCAAGUAGCAGGUGAAAGCCCUGUACGCCUCA
rnacentral:tRNA from 1 species